rnacentral:misc_RNA from 1 species
CCGAGUUUACAACUCCCAAACCCCUGUGAAACAUACCACUUGUUGCCUCGGGCGGAUCAGCCCGCUCCCGGUAAAACGGACACGGCCCGCCCAGAGGACCCCCCUAAACUCUGUUUCUAUAUGUAACUUCUGAGUAAAACCAUAAAUAAAUCA